GACUAACACUGGGCUGUUUAACACCUCAGACUCAGCAGCUGUAGAUUCUUCAGUUGAGGCCUUUUCUCAGUGAGAGUAGAGGAGACUGGGGAACAGACUAACACUGGGCUGUUUAACACCUCAGACUCAGCAGCUGUAGAUUCUUCAGUUGAGGCCUUUUCUCAGUAAGAGUAGAUGAGACUGGGGAACAGACUAACACUUUUAGACUCUAGUUUAUUAUGAAAAUAUUAUUUAAGUUAAAAUAAUUAAGAAUUAAAUUAAUUCUCUGCCCCCCUAUUAUACAACAGAAAUGUUUAUUUGUGUAUUUAUACUACCACGGUACCCAACCCUCUGAUAUGUGUAUUUAUACUACCACAAUACCCUCUGAAAUGUGUAUUUAUACUACCACAGUACCCUCUGAUUUGUGUAUUUAUACUACCACAGUACCCUCUGAUAUGUGUAUUUAUACUACCACAGUACCCUCUGAUUUGUGUAUUUAUACUACCACAGUACCCUCUGAUAUGUGUAUUUAUACUACCACAGUACCCUCUGAUGUGUGUAUUUAUACUACCACAGUACCCAACCCUCUUAUAUGUGUAUUUAUACUACAACAGUACCCUCUGAUAUGUGUAUUUAUACUACCACAGUACCCUCUGAUAUGUGUAUUUAUACUACCACAGUACCCUCUGAUAUGUGUAUUUAUACUACCACAGUACCCUCUAUGUGUAUUUAUACUACCACAGUACCCUCUGAUAUGUGUAUUUAUACUACCACAGUACCCUCUAUGUGUAUGUAUACUACCACAGUACCCUCUGAUGUGUAUUUAUACUACCACAGUACCCUCUAUGUGUAUUUAUACUACCACAGUACCCUCUGAUGUGUAUUUAUACUACCACAGUACGUUCUGA
rnacentral:lncRNA from 1 species